rnacentral:rRNA from 1 species
ACCGGCGGACGGGUGCGUAACACGUGAGCAACCUGCCUUAGAGAGGGGGAUAACCCGGGGAAACCCGGGCUAAUACCGCAUAAUGUGACCAUUUCACCUGGAGAGGUCACCAAAAGAGGGCGUCUUUCGCGGAGCUCUCGCUCUGAGAUGGGCUCGCGGCCUAUCAGCUUGUUGGUGAGGUAACGGCUCACCAAGGCGAUGACGGGUAGCUGGUCUAAGCGGAUGAUCAGCCACACGGGGACUGAGACACGGCCCCGACUCCUACGGGAGGCAGCAGUGGGGAAUUUUGGACAAUGGGCGAAAGCCUGAUCCAGCGACGCCGCGUGCGGGAGGAAGCCCCUCGGGGUGUAAACCGCUGUCAGGAGGGAAGAACAGGUUCGGGUGAAUACCCCGGACCGCUGACGGUACCUCCAGAGGAAGCGCCGGCUAACUCCGUGCCAGCAGCCGCGGUAAUACGGAGGGCGCGAGCGUUGUCCGGAAUUACUGGGCGUAAAGGGGGCGCAGGCGGCUUGGCAAGUCUUGUGUGAAAGCCCACGGCUCAACCGUGGACAUGCACUAGAUACUACCGAGCUUGAGACGGGUAGAGGCGAGUGGAAUUCCCGGUGUAGCGGUGGAAUGCGUAGAUAUCGGGUAGAACACCAGUGG